rnacentral:lncRNA from 1 species
GCCUUAUUCUAAAAUUGAUGAAAUUGUUUUUUUCCCCUCAUCAAUCUACACACAAUACCCCAUAAUGACAUCACAAUACCCCAUAAUGACAAAACAAAAGCAUGCACUUUGUUGAAGCACCUUUGGUAGCGAUUACAGCCUCGAGUCUUCUUAGGUAUGACGCUAUAAGCUUAGCACACCUGCAUGUGGGGAGUUUCUCCCAUUCUUCUCUACAGAUCCUCUCAAGCUCUGUCAGGUUGGACGGGGAGCAUCGCUGCACAGGCUCUGUCGCAGCCGGCCCGCGACCGGGAGACCCAUGGGGUGGCGUACAAUUGGCCCAGGGUCGUCUGGGUUAGGGGAGGGUUUGGCUGACAGGGAUGUCCUUGUCCCAUCGUGCACACGCCUUCCCUGUGGCUCAGUUGGUAGAGCAUGGUGUUUGCAACGCCAGCAUGGAGCCCGUCUACGUGUAUGAGGAUAAGAAUAUCCCCUACAAGUGGAGUUCCCCUAGAGGCCAUCAUCCAUGGACGUUUCUCCAACAAGUCAGAUGUCUGGUCCUUUGGGGUUCUGCUCUACGAGAUGCUAACCUAUACCAUACCUAGGCUAAAGAAACAAACAAAAGGUGUCCAGUCAGAUCCUUGCUGGCUCCAGAUAAAUAGCCAGACUUCCUCUACAAACUCAUGCUCAGCUGUUGGCGUGACAACCCUGCAGACAGACCGGACUUCAAGGAGUUCGGGCCCAAACUGGAGAACAUCAACCCGCUAUGAGCUGGAACAGGGCUCCCGAGUGACACAGCGGUCUAAGACACUGCAUCUCACUGCAGGACCUGGUUCGAUUCCAGGCUGUAUCACAUCUGGCUGUGAUUAGGAUUCCCAUAGGGUGGUGUAUAAUUGUCCUAGCGUUGUCCGGGUUUGGCUGGAGUAGGCUCUGUCAUUCAUUGUAAAUAAUAAUUUGUUCUUAACUGACUUGCCUAGUUAAAUAAAUGUUAAAAAAUAUAAACAGUGACUGUCCCUAGCCAAAGGAGGGCAGCAGAGUCAUUGUCUCUCAGAGUAGAGGGUAUCCUGGCUUGUCUCUCAGAGUAGAGGGUAUCCUGGCUUGUCUCUCAGAGUAGAGGGUAUCCUGACUUGUCUCUCAGAGUAGAGGGUAUCCUGGCUUGUCUCUCAGAGUAGAGGGUAUCCUGGCUUGUCUCUCAGAGUAGAGGGUAUCCUGACUUGUCUCUCAGAGUAGAGGGUAUCCUGGCUUGUCUCUCAGAGUAGAGGGUAUCCUGGCUUGUCUCUCAGAGUAUAGGGUAUCCUGGCUUGUCCAAUAUGAUUUCCCCCAGGCGACAUCCCAAAUGGCACCCUAUUCCCUAUUUAGUGCACUAGUUUUGAGCAGGGCCCUAUGGAAUAGGAUGCCAUUUGGGAUGUCAGUCAGCCAGUCACGUGGUCACCCCUCCACCUGGUGAACCCUCCACCUGGUCACCUCUCCACCCGGUCACCUCUCCACCCGGUCACCCCUCCACCCGGUCACCUCUCCACCCGGUCACCUCUCCACCCGGUCACCCCUCCACCCGGUCACCCCUCCACCCGGUCACCCCUCCACCCGGUCAACCCUCCACCCGGUCACCCCUCCACCCGGUCAACCCUCCACCCGGUCACCCCUCCACCCGGUCACCCCUCCACCCGGUCACCCCUCCACCCGGUCAACCCUCCACCCGGUCACCUCUCCACCCGGUCACCUCUCCACCUGGUCAACCCUUCACCCGGUCACCUCUCCACCUGGUCACCCCUCCACCUGGUCACCCCUCCAACCAGUCAGCCAGUCACCUCGUCAACAUGCUACCCACUACCCCAAUAUGCCAAUGAGAAGAUGAGAAUCACAUCUCAGUCCCUCUCCCUCUGUUGCUGUGGUGGACCAGGCCCAGUGUCUGGGGGAUUCAUCCUACAGGUCAUCUUUAAUAUAUCAUCUCAAGGCCAGUGAGACCAGAAUCAGAAUGGCUACAGAGUGCCUCAAGCUCUCCCAGGCCAGGAUGGCUUCAAUCAAGCCAUCAACAGCUCAUGCAGUGAUACACUACAUUUGGGGGUUUGGGAAGCAUCAAGAGAAAACACUUGACAGGUUUGAGAAGCAUCGAGAGACAACAAUUGACACGUUUGGGAAGCAUCGAGAGACAACAAUUGACAGGUUUGAGAAGCAUCGAGAGAAAACACUUGACAGGUUUGAGAAGCAUCGAGAGACAACAAUUGACACGUUUGGGAAGCAUCGAGAGACAACAAUUGACAGGUUUGAGAAGCAUCGAGAGAAAACAAUUGACAGGUUUGGGAAGCAUCGAGAGACAACAAUUGACAGGAUUGGAAUAAGAACCCAGUUGGUCUCUCGUUUGGUAGCAUCAAAGUGAUAAAACUGUAAUUUUACAGAGGAAAAUCUCAACCUCCAGUUAGAUUAGAAAGUCUAG